AGGGGUAUAGCUCAGUUGGUAGAGCGGCGGUCUCCAAAACCGCAGGCCGCAGGUUCGAGCCCUGCUGCCCCUG
rnacentral:tRNA from 1 species